rnacentral:rRNA from 1 species
CCAGACUGCGGCGUGCUAUAAUGCAAGUCGAGCGAAGAGAUGGGAGCUUGCUCCCUGAUCUUAGCGGCGGACGGGAGAGUAACACGUGGGCAACCUGCCCUGCAGACUGGGAUAACUCCGGGAAACCGGAGCUAAUACCGGGUAAUACAUCGCACCGCAUGGUGCAAUGUUGAAAGUUGGCUUUUGGAUAUCACUGUGCGAUGGGGCCCCGGCGCAUUUUCUAUUUGGGAAGGGGAUGGGUUUUCCCGGCGACAAUAUGUAUCCGACAUGUGAGGGGGAGCGCCCACACUGGGACUGAGACACGGCCCCCACUCCUACAGGAGGGGGCACUAUGGAAUCUUCCCCAAUGGGCAAAAGUCUGACAGAGAACCGCCCCGUGAGUGAGAAAAGGCUUCUGGUCUCAAAGCUCUGUUGUGAGGGAAAAAAACAUACCCCUCUAAUAUAGGGGGACCUUGUCGGUACCUAUCCACAAAGCCACGGCUAACUACAUGCCCCCGCCCCCGGUAAUACACAGGGGGGAAGCGUUGUCCGGAAUUAUUGUGCGUAAAGCGCGCGCACGGGGUCUUUUAAAUCUGAUAUGAAAACCCACGGCUCUCCCGCGUAGAGGCAUUGUGAACUGUGGGACUUGAGUGCGCAAAAGAAGAGAGUAAUUCUACGUGUAUCGCUGAGAUGCGUAGAUAUGUGUAGAAACACAACUGUGGAAAGCGGCGCUCUGUGCUGUGACUGAGACUGAGACGCGCAAACGUGUGGAGCACACAGAAUAAGAUACACUGUGAUACCACACGCUAUACAAUGAGAGCGCUGUGUGGUGGGGUUCCACACUCUCAGCUCUGAUGAACACAUUAUACACACUCCGUGGGGAGAACGACAGCACGGUGAGACUCACAAGAGUUGACAGGGGCCCGCACAAAAGUGUGGCAUGUGUGUUAUAUCUCAAAAAAGCGCAAAACUUAUCACGGUCUCGAGAUCCUCUGACAAUACUCGUAGACACGAAGAUUCUCCCUCUCGGGGACACAGAAGACACGUGGUGCAUCGUGUGUCUCACAUCUCGUCUUGAGAAUAUGUGUUAUAGUCGCAACAACAGAGCAAACUUGUGCAUCAUAUGUCAG